GGGUGAUUAGUGUAGUGGUUAUCACGUUUCGUUUACACCGAAAAGGUCGGCGGUUCGAUCCCGCCAUUACCCA
rnacentral:tRNA from 1 species